CAGUCGCCGCGGGAAUACGAAGGGGGCUAGCGUUGCUCGGAAUUACUGGGCGUAAAGGGAGCGUAGGCGGACAUUUAAGUCAGGGGUGAAAUCCCAGAGCUCAACUCUGGAACUGCCUUUGAUACUGGGUGUCUUGAGUGUGAUAGAGGUAUGAGGAACUCCGAGUGUAGAGGUGAAAUUCGUAGAUAUUCGGAAGAACACCAGUGGCGAAGGCGACAUACUGGAUCAUUACUGACGCUGAGGCUCGAAAGCGUGGGGAGCAAACAGGAUUAGAUACCCGCGUAGUCCCUGUCUCUUAUAC
rnacentral:rRNA from 1 species